rnacentral:lncRNA from 1 species
CGGCGUCGUUAACUUUUACAAAAAUCUUCUCCUCUGAAACUACUGGCCCAAAUUAAACCAAACUUGGCCACAAUCAUCAUUGGGGUAUCUAGUUUAAAAAAUGUGUCCGGUGACCCGGCCAACCAUCCAAGAUGGCCGCCAUGGCUAAAAAUAGAACAUAGGGGUAAAAUGCAGUUUUUGGCUUAUAACACAAAAACCAAAGCAUUUAGAGCAAAUCUGACAGGGGUAGAAUUGUUAAACAGGUGAAGAUCUAUCUGCCCUGAAAUUUUCAGAUGAAUCGGAUAACCCGUUGUUGGGUUGCUGCCCC